rnacentral:rRNA from 1 species
CCCUUAGAUGUUCUGGGCCGCACGCGCGCUACACUGACGAAUGCAACGAGCUUAUAACCUUGGCCGAAAGGUCUGGGUAAUCUCCAAAUUUCGUCGUGAUGGGGAUAGAUUAUUGCAAUUAUUAAUCUUCAACGAGGAAUGCCUAGUAAGCGCAAGUCAUCAGCUUGCGUUGAUUACGUCCCUGCCCUUUGUACACACCGCCCGUCGCUCCUACCGAUUGAAUGGUCCGGUGAAGCGUUCGGACAGUGGCCUUUGGACGGUUCGCCGUCUGUUGGCUGCGGGAAGUUCGUUAAACCUUAUCAUUUAGAGGAAGGAGAAGUCGUAACA